UAUAUAUAUUUUUUUUCUCUCAUUUCUUUGUGUAAUCCCUCUGACUGUUCUGUUUUUUUUGUGUUUUACAUGUUACUGUUAAAUAAAAUAUUUAAAGAAUAUAAAAACGAACAAAAAAAAGGUCGUGCAAAACUUGAGUCAAUCAUUACACAGAGGGUACAUAUUCAACUUGAGUUGAGCUCUGUCCAGAUUUUGCGACACUGCCUUAGUGCUGAUCCUGACUCUGCAAGUACACAGCUCUCACACAGAGGAAAUCCAGAGGUUCCCCAUACCCUGUGUACAGAGGCAGAGAGGAUUGUGGGAUACCACUUGGUGAGAGGAGUGAUCAGUGUGCCACAUGGAAUAAAGGAGACACUACGGCAGCAUGGGAAAGACCAGAUGUUGUUGAAGGAUGGAAGUUGUAUCACAGUGAUGGAAGGAGCUAAACACAACCUGCCAGCUGCUGAUGCCCAGGGGGAAGCCGAAUGUAUUAAGAAGCUGGCCAGCACACUGACUUAGAAAGACCUGUUGCUUGUACUCAUUUCAAGUAAAUUGAUACCCAACUACUACUACUACAUAAUGUAAUUGUCUAACAAACUAUAUAGUUAUUACUUAAUCUGAAUCACCGAAGCUACAGGGUGUCCAUAAAUAUCAGUGCAGUCAAAAACUAGAUUUUCCUGU